UACAGAGGGGGCAAGCGUUGUUCGGAAUUACUGGGCGUAAAGGGCGCGUAGGCGGCCCGCUAAGUCGAACGUGAAAUCCCCGAGCUCAACUCGGGAACUGCGUCCGAUACUGGUGGGCUUGAAUCCGGGAGAGGGAUGCGGAAUUCCAGGUGUAGCGGUGAAAUGCGUAGAUAUACGGAGGAACACCAGCGGCGAAGGCGGGUAGCUGGGCCAACACUGACGCUGAUGCGCGAAAGCCAGGGGAGCAAACGGG
rnacentral:rRNA from 1 species